AUCUACCCUUGGUCAGGUUGAAGUUCAGGUAACACUGAAUGGAGGACCGAACCGACUUACGUUGAAAAGUGAGCGGAUGAACUGAGGGUAGCGGAGAAAUUCCAAUCGAACCUGGAGAUAGCUGGUUCUCUCCGAAAUAGCUUUAGGGCUAGCCUCAAGUGAUGAUUAUUGGAGGUAGAGCACUGUUUGGACGAGGGGCCCCUCUCGGGUUACCGAAUUCAGACAAACUCCGAAUGCCAAUUAAUUUAACUUGGGAGUCAGAACAUGGGUGAUAAGGUCCGUGUUCGAAAGGGAAACAGCCCAGACCACCAGCUAAGGUCCCAAAAUAUAUGUUAAGUGGAAAAGGAUGUGGCGUUGCCCAGACAACUAGGAUGUUGGCUUAGAAGCAGCCAUCAUUUAAAGAGUGCGUAAUAGCUCACUAGUCGAGUGACACUGCGCCGAAAAUGUACCGGGGCUAAACAUAUUACCGAAGCUGUGGAUUGUCCUUUGGACAAUGGUAGGAGAGCGUUCUAAGGGCGUUGAAGCAUGAUCGUAAGGACAUGUGGAGCGCUUAGAAGUGAGAAUGCCGGUGUGAGUAGCGAAAGACGGGUGAGAAUCCCGUCCACCGAUUGACUAAGGUUUCCAGAGGAAGGCUCGUCCGCUCUGGGUUAGUCGGGUCCUAAGCUGAGGCCGACAGGCGUAGGCGAUGGAUAACAGGUUGAUAUUCCUGUACCACCUAUAAUCGUUUUAAUCGAUGGGGGGACGCAGUAGGAUAGGCGAAGCGUGCGAUUGGAUUGCACGUCUAAGCAGUAAGGCUGAGUAUUAGGCAAAUCCGGUACUCGUUAAGGCUGAGCUGUGAUGGGGAGAAGACAUUGUGUCUUCGAGUCGUUGAUUUCACACUGCCGAGAAAAGCCUCUAGAUAGAAAAUAGGUGCCCGUACCGCAAACCGACACAGGUAGUCAAGAUGAGAAUUCUAAGGUGAGCGAGCGAACUCUCGUUAAGGAACUCGGCAAAAUGACCCCGUAACUUCGGGAGAAGGGGUGCUCUUUAGGGUUAACGCCCAGAAGAGCCGCAGUGAAUAGGCCCAAGCGACUGUUUAUCAAAAACACAGGUCUCUGCUAAACCGUAAGGUGAUGUAUAGGGGCUGACGCCUGCCCGGUGCUGGAAGGUUAAGAGGAGUGGUUAGCUUCUGCGAAGCUACGAAUCGAAGCCCCAGUAAACGGCGGCCGUAACUAUAACGGUCCUAAGGUAGCGAAAUUCCUUGUCGGGUAAGUUCCGACCCGCACGAAAGGCGUAACGAUUUGGGCACUGUCUCAACGAGAGACUCGGUGAAAUCAUAGUACCUGUGAAGAUGCAGGUUACCCGCGACAGGACGGAAAGACCCCGUGGAGCUUUACUGUAGCCUGAUAUUGAAAUUCGGCACAGCUUGUACAGGAUAGGUAGGAGCCUUUGAAACGUGAGCGCUAGCUUACGUGGAGGCGCUGGUGGGAUACUACCCUAGCUGUGUUGGCUUUCUAACCCGCACCACUUAUCGUGGUGGGAGACAGUGUCAGGCGGGCAGUUUGACUGGGGCGGUCGCCUCCUAAAAGGUAACGGAGGCGCUCAAAGGUUCCCUCAGAAUGGUUGGAAAUCAUU
rnacentral:rRNA from 1 species